AAGUCGUAACAAGGUCCUCCGUUGGUGCAACCAGCGGAGGGAUCAUUAUCCGAGUUUACAAACCUCCAACCCUGUGAACAUACCUAUCGUUGCUUCGGCGGAUCCGCCCCGGCGCCCUCGGGCCCGGAUCAGGCGCCCGCCGGAGACCCAAAACUCUUGUAUUUCUUUAGUAUCUUCUGAGUAGACAAGCAAAUAAAUUAAAA
rnacentral:misc_RNA from 1 species